rnacentral:rRNA from 1 species
GAUGAACGCUGGCGGCGUGCCUAAUACAUGCAAGUCGAGCGAACAGACGAGGAGCUUGCUCCUCUGACGUUAGCGGCGGACGGGUGAGUAACACGUGGAUAACCUACCUAUAAGACUGGGAUAACUUCGGGAAACCGGAGCUAAUACCGGAUAAUAUAUUGAACCGCAUGGUUCAAUAGUGAAAGACGGUUUUGCUGUCACUUAUAGAUGGAUCCGCGCCGCAUUAGCUAGUUGGUAAGGUAACGGCUUACCAAGGCAACGAUGCGUAGCCGACCUGAGAGGGGGAUCGGCCACACUGGAACUGAGACACGGUCCAGACUCCUACGGGAGACAGCAGUAGGGAAUCUUCCGCAAUGGGCGAAAGCUUGACGGAGCAACGCCGCGUGAGUGAUGAAGGUCUUCGGAUCGUAAAACUCUGUUAUUAGGGAAGAACAAAUGUGUAAGUAACUAUGCACGUCUUGACGGUACCUAAUCAGAAAGCCACGGCUAACUACGUG